AAAAAAAAAAAAAAAAAAAAAAAAAUAACAUCCUUUUUCGUGUAGUUCUUCCAUUCCCUCUUCUUACAGCCACCAUUUUGAUCAUUCUACCGGUUUUUGUUCCACAAAUGUUUUAAAGUU
rnacentral:ribozyme from 1 species